CCCUUAGAUGUUCUGGGCCGCACGCGUGCUACACUGAGUGGAUCAGCGGGUCAGGUUGCGCGAAAGUGUUUCCUAAUCUUUAAAUCCGCUCGUGAUGGGGAUUGACGGUUGCAAUUUUCCGUCAUGAACGAGGAAUACCUUGUAAGCGCGGGUCAUCAUCCCGCGCUGAAUACGUCCCUGCCCUUUGUACACACCGCCUGUCGCUCCUACCGAUUGAGUGGUCCGGUGAGGCUUUGGGAUCUGGGCGGAAAGAGCGUUUCGCUGUUUCUGCCCGGAAAACUCAGUCGAACCUUAUCAUUUAGAGGAAGGAGAAGUCGUAACA
rnacentral:rRNA from 1 species